rnacentral:piRNA from 1 species
UUGGUAGAAAAGGAAAGAGAUUCCUU